CUGUCUUAACCUCCUGAAAUCGACAGACUAGGAAAGAGAAGACAUUGGUUACAUAAUCACACAAGCAGAUGUUCAAGGCUACUGUUGGUGGUGCUGAAAUGUAGCAAUCUCUUGACAGUUUAGUGAGCUCAUGACCAGAGGAUCUGUCUUAUGCAAAGGUCAGAGAAGGCUUCCCUGAUAAAGGAAGGUCAUCCAAGAUGUGCAAAGAGUAGCAAAAAAUUUCGGUCGCCAGGCAUAAACAUUUCCCACAGAGACUGAACUGGGGCAGUCUGUCUUCUUGUUUCAGCACUCAUAAGGUGUUACACCACAGUGAACUUUUAGUGCUGGCUUCCGUCUCAGCAUCUGCUUCCCAGAGAAAUCAAUGAGAAUGAUCUCUUAUCCUAUCAAGGAUCAUUUUACCUCCUUCUCACCAAAUGUUACACAUCAGUGAGCAGCACUGCCUAGGAGAUAACAGGAAGCCGGGUUUCACAGCAGCCAUCCUAACCAACUAAUUCUGUGAUGAUUGAGAGACUGUGAGUGACCCGAUUGGCCAGACCCUUACUGAACCCAACUGACAACUGUGUCCUGAUUAAAGGGGAAUGAAAUUUGUUUUCACAAUCCCAUAUAGACCUAUAAACUUGUCCUGACCUGUCAAGAGUGCCAGUUUUCAAACUGCCAUUAGCAAACCACUGUGAAACCACCCACAAAAGCCUUACAUUUUAGGCUUUUCAUUUUAUGUUUACUAUGAAACAUUAAAGAAUGCAUGAAUAUAGAAAUGGAAAUUGGUCCCUUUUCACCGAUCACAAACUUUGUACCUCAAUUCUUAAAGUCAGGGAUGUUUAACUCAGCCAGCCACCUAGCUAGGGUCUGUAACAAACAGUUGGUUAUUUUUCACCCUUUGUCUACUCAAAAUUAAGAAAGUAAAGACGAUAAAAACAAUAUUCUACAGAAAAAAAAGACAAAUGUUAAAAAAGUAAUAAAAGAGAACUUUCUUUCAUAUUCAUGUGAGAAGGAUAGAUGUUUAGAAAUAAAGAAUAAAAUUUGUGUGAGGGAUGCCUCUUGCAUUUUAAGAAUUAGAAGAGGUGAUUGGUAAAACUGUAGACAUGGACGAGCUGGUUUUCCAAGGCACGGGAUCAGCUACAAGUACAUAGAAAAGGUCCCUCAUAUAAAAACAAUUAUGUCAAGGUGAAUUUGUGUGUAUUAUAUAUGUACUAAAUGAUGUGUACAUGCAACUGGUUGUUACAGGAAAAAGGAAAAACAGAAAAAAACUGAAAAAAUUACAUGAAAAAAAUGUAUCAAGAACCCACAGUAGUUGUAAAUAGCAUGAUACUGUUAUUGAGUACCUGAAAUCAAUUGCAGAUUGACAUGAGGAGGAGCUCAAUGUAACUUCUCCCAGAGAUGAUCACAGAACUUAAAGAGGCUGAAUUCAUAGAACAGCUUCUGUGUAGAAGUCACUCUAUAGUUCCUCCCAGAGGAGGGGACUGACUUUUCAAUUUGUCCAUUGGGCCAUGCUCGGACCACAGUACUUGAAACAGAACCUUAGGAAAAUGCAUCAUAUUUUAAUUCUGAACCAAGAGUUGGCUCAUUUUUAAAGAUACCAUGCUUAGUUUUCAUUUAUUCAGAUUUAGGUAAAGGGUUCAAUAUUCAGGUCAGGAUUUGAAAUGGGCAUCAGGAAGGUGCCCUUAGGUGAGGAAGAUUUGUGAUGUGGGCAACUUCUUGCUAAUAAAAGCCUUCAGUUCAACCUGUACUGGUUCAAGAACUUCUGAAGUUUUACAGAGGCUUGCCUGGAAUCUGGGAUGAGGGCCUGGGGUUGAGGUCAGGCAGCUUCGUGAACGGAGAAGUGUUGUGCUAAUGGGGUUGCUUGAGGGAGGACAAUGAUAUCCACCUUUUUUCAAUAUUUUGCCUAAGGCCACCCUGGCCCUGCCAUUCAAAAUCACCUUUUCUGUCAUUUUGGCGUUUGUGGUACAUUGCAGAACCCUGACUUAGGCCAGGAGGCCAUUUAGGAAAUUAUUCCUGACAUUUUGUUUUAAAUUAAUAAAAUACAUAAAAUAGGGUUCCUUGUAAUAGAUCUCACACAUCAAGCAUAAGUAGAUCGCAUUAUUUAUUUUUAAAUGACAUAUGCUGUAGCUCAGUUUUGUAGAAUUCAAGAAUAUACUUCAUCUUUUGUGUAGGUAAUUUCAUUCAAUUUCCCAGUCCCCUCUUUCAUUUUGGAGAAAUAAAAUUUGUGUUUUAUGUCUAUAUACACUCUCCAAUGGGGCAAUUCAAAAAUAAAAGUGCAUCCUUAACACUGCAUUUCUUUGCUUUUGGCCUGCACUAGAACUUUUCCCUCAUUUCAAUGUAGCUUUUGUAUGGGUGAAUGCAAUAAAAAAGGUAAUAAACUUAAUAAAUGGUUCAAUUGCAUGAGUGCACCUGUGUGUUACCUUCAUCCUCAUUAUCCAUUUCCUCAGACAUUGUCCAUUACCUCGUGUUGGUCACAGAACCCUAUUGUAAGUCUAAUACAUAGUGCAAUAAAAAUAAAUAAUCUGAGAAAAUAUUACAGUGCAAACUGAAAAUAGUUUUGUUGUAAAUUUAUGCACAUUUUUAUCCACUCUGCUAAGUACAAGGAUGCUGUCAGUGUACUGUUCUCUUUAUAUCUCCCAUAGGAGUGAGACCCAAAUCCUUAUUUCUUAUGAGCUUCAUUCAAAUAUAUAUUACAGGGGCUCCAUGCCCGUGGUUGUUUUCUCAGUAGAAUUCCUGAAAACUGAUUCAGACAAUAGUGUGUGCGUGUGUGCGCAGGUAUGUAAAAAUGUGAUGUCCGAGAUGACCCUCUAAAUCCAUGCCUACGUACUCACAGAAAAAUAGAAAAUAGUAGGUAUUUUAUUCAAGCAAUUCAGGCACUAAAUGCAUAUUUGCCCUGAUAUCUGUAGAUACGAAAAAAACUGUAUUCUGCUUGAAACUUUUGAAUAAUAGAUAUAUUUUCAAACUGAGCUGACUGUGUGAACUUCAAAUUUUUGUGGGUUUAUAAAGGGCAGAGUUUCCUAGGAUGUUUACUGCUAAAUUGCAUAUCACGUAUUGGCAUGAUAUGAAGAACGGACUCACCUCUCAUGCCUUGCUAGUUUAAAAUACUUUACAUGCUUUUAGCCAAAGAUAAUUUUAAAACCAAAUAUGCCCUCUAAUUCGUAGAUGCAAAACUGUGUUUUCCAGCUCUCUUUUACACAGGGUCUGUUGGCAGCUGCGUGAUAGUAUACUCAUUAAUAUCUUUGACAGUUCAUAGUUGUCAAUCACACCAGAUUUUCACAAGCUGCUUACAUGGCCUGAGAAAUGCACAGAAAUGAAGAGGUGAUCCCAGACUGACAGAUCAUUUCAGGUGGCUUGAGUAGACUUUAAUUGACUCUUGGUUUGCUGUCUAUACUGCUCUCCAAGGAAUGCACGAAUUAAUGAAGCUACUUAAUAAAAAUCUUGGCUAGAUCUUAUCUGUUUCUGCCACUAACCAAUAGAGCAUAUUUACACUACACAUAUUUUACAUCCAGGCAUUCAGUUUUUGGAUUGCUUGUGUAGAGAACAUGAUUUACUCCCCCUUUACAAAAUUUUAGUUCUGUUAACUAUAAACAGGACAGUGGGUAGCCAGGACAAUGAAUAACCUCUGCAAACAACGAAAAUAUAAAGACAAUGUCCACAUGUAUAGGAAAUAGCACAUACAAAGUGAAAUUUAAAGUAGGAAAUAUGUAGACAAUUUCCCAGUAAGUUCAAGUAAUCUCUAUUCUGAUUUAGAGGUAAAAACUCAUUCUAACUUUUAGGGGGAAAAUGCUUCUCUCCAACCUUCUUUUGGGAUAUUUAAAACUAUUUUAUUGGCAAUAAAAACUGCCUCUUUUGUAGGAAAAUGCAUAAUAUUUUAAUUCGGAACCAAGAUUUGGGUCAUUUUUAGAGAUACCAUGGUAGGCAUACAAGUGCAGAGUCUAGUGUACUGGUCUCUGCACUGAGUACCAAGCACACAUUAGUCCUUGCUUAUCUGUCCAACCCUACAGAGUAAAGAUCAUUGCUCUCAUUUUUCAGAUGAGGACCUUUAUACUUAGACAAAUGAAAUGACUGGACCAAGUCCAUAAAUGUAGUGGUUGGUAGACAAAGGACACAAACCCAAGCUGUUUGGAUCUCAAACUCUUGAUCUUUGCCGGGGUAUCAUGGUGCCUCCUGAAGUCUUUUCAGUCAAGGUAAAAACCAUCGGUUUCAUUUCUUGAGGGAGUGCUCUUGCUUGAAGGGUUUACCGGCCACUGCUUUUUGCUCUGUGUGGCUGCUUUGUGCCUUUCAGGUUUGAUUUCCUAUAUUUUAGUUCCUCUUCGUUUCACCAAGUUAAAGUACAGCUCUAAUUACAAUGACUACAUUACUACAUCAAUUUCUAGAUGUAAAAGGCAUCCUUAUAAAUGUUCAUAAAUACUUCUGACUUUCAAAAUAAUGCAAAGCGAUGGAACAUAGUUAAUGCUUCAUUAGCUAAAUGCUAUGCAAAAUUUGUUAUUAGGCUGUCCUGAGAACAUUUUUUGGAGCAAAUUACCUAUCAGCAUUUUAUUUGAUAACUCUAAAAUGAAUUUUCUGCAGUAAGCUAUGAUGUUGCCAAAAUAUGUAGAAAAUUUGUGCUCAACAUUAUUAAAUAUUUGAAUUAACACAUCAUAAUCUCCAUAUAUAUUUCUUUUAAUAUUUUCUAUGAAUAAAUGUUUGCAUAUCACAUUAUUUUUAUGAAUGCAUGCAAUUAUAGGUUAGUAAACAAUAAACAUUUUAGCUGGCUUUUUCUAUUCCUUUAAUCAAAACAAAACAAAUAGCAUAAAAUAAUGUUCAUUGAAUGUUAAAACUGCAGAGGAAAUAGUUUUCUCUCUCUAUUAUGAUUCUUCCUUGAUUGAAGACAAUCAUUGUGAACAAUAAUUUUCAAUGUACUACACUAUGAGUAUAGCAGGUAUAAGACAUUUAACUGCUCAUAAAUAUUGCUUAAUAAUGUUAUGUACAGGAGUAAAUGAAUCCACUGGGGAAUAAACCUCUAUUGAUAAGCUAUCUUAUUUAUGUUUGUAUGCAUAAUUAUUCUGCCCUUUUCUCAAACUUUUAAACACCUUCAAACACCAGUAAACCUCUAAAAAUACACCAUCUUAUUUACGUGUGUAUGCAUAAUACUUCUACCCUAUUCUCAAACUAAAACUUCAAACACCAAGCCUGAUAUUUUGAAUGCAAAGAGCCCUUAAUAAACACUUCGUGAAGUGAAUUGAUUCUGAAACUACUUUGUGAUGUGUUUGGAAUCGUUUUUGAAAGAGUAUUCUAAAAAAAUCUUCUCCCUGUAGCAUGACCCUCACUCUAUGAGUUUUAUAACUGUAUCUAUUUGCAGCAUGUGCUAUAUCAUAUUACCCUUUUGGAGACUUUUAAAAUGUGACUUAAUUUGGCCUCUGAUAAGUACUACAGUAAAGAAAUCCUUUUAAUUCUAUUCAUUUAUUUCCCAAGCAUAAAUGAACACAGAAUCUCUUAAAGUCUUCAGAUCUUAAAGUUUACUAGAACUAGAAUUCCAGGUAACUCGGUAUAAGAACUGUUGUUUAAGAAUUAAAUUCCCUGAAAAUAAAGUUCCUGAUAUUACUUUAUUUACAUUCAUUUGUCUCUUAAUGGAUUAUAAUUUUAAUCCAUGGCUUAAAUCAGGAUCUUCUGUUAUUUGUGAUUGAGGUAACAGAACUUUACAAUGCUAUGAGAGAAUAAAUGUGAUUUGGAAAUGCACCAGUUCUCUUCAUAUUAUCAUGACUAAGUUUUGUUAUAAAUUUUCAAUAAUAAAUGUCAGUGCUAAGAUGAAAAUGAACAUAAUAAGAGCAUUGCUUCUUUGAAAUUUUUAAAAUGUGUCUUAAGCCAUACAUUCAAAGUGCUGUCAUACUUUUAGCAAUGAAUAAAAAUUAAAGACAUGUAUCUACUCACAGAGUGCUCCCUUUCUUUUUUGUAAAAUCUCUUUACUUUUUAUGAGAUCAAAACUAUUGCUAGAAACUACUCCGGAUGAAAUUGCUUCUUAUUAUAAUUUGUUCUUGAUUCAAAAACUUUAAGUAACUGGAGGAUAUAUUAGCUUCUAAUAAUGGUUGUAAAUGUUGCUUAAACAUAUUAAAAUGCAUACAUUGGAUGUUUCUUUCUGAAUGUGACUUAGAGGAAGAAUGAUAGAUUUGACAGUGCAAGAGUUUUGGAAUCAGAGACCUGGGUUUGAAUCUAGCUUUGCCUCAAGAUUAGACAAAGUUGGGCAUCAGACUUUGCCUAAUCCUGUGUCAAAGCUAAGUCUUAGUUUGUGUAUAAACUUGGUGUAUGUGUAGUCUUAGGUUAUAAGCUGUGAGUCUUAGGUCAUAUAUAAUUAAUUUCACUAAAUGUCAUUUUGUAAAUCUUUAAAAUGGUUGUGCAACAAGAUAUGUGUGGAAGCCACUUUAUCUGUUGUGACUAGACAUUGGAUCAAUAUUUUUCUCUGAUCUCCUAGAGGAAAAGCAAUCCCAAUAUUUUUGUAAAUCUCUAUUAUAAGCUGAGUUGGGUACCUGCAAAGUUUAUAUGCUGACAUCCUAAUCCCUGGUACCUCAAGAUGCAACCUUAUUUUAAAACAUAACUUUUUAAAGAGAUAAUUAAGUUAAAGCGAGGUCAUUAUGGCUGGGUCCCUAAUCUAAUGGGACUUGUGUCCUGAUAGAAGAGCAUAUUUGCACACAGACACAUAGAGAGCAGAGGUUAAUGGAAAACACGGAGAAGAUAGCCAUCUGCAAUUCAGGGAAAGAGGCCUGGAACCAAUCUUUCUCUCUCAGUCCUUGGAAGGAACCCACCCUGCCAACACCUUGGUCUUGGACUUCUGUAGCCUCCAGAACUCUGAGACAAUAAAUUCCUGUUGUUUGCAUCCCCUAUUCUGUGGUACUUUGCUACCUCAGCCUUAACAAGCUGCUAUAGUCCCAAAGCUUCCACAUGCAACGGUCACUUCUGGUUCCAAUGCCCUGAUUCCGAUAAAGUAUAUCACCUGUCUUCAUGAAAAUGUCACAUGGAGCCAAGAUGACAGACAACCCUUUUCUCCAUUUUCUGCUUUGUAUUAACUCUCAAAAGGAAAAAGUCCUUAUUCCUUGGUCUCCCGAUAAACCAUUCAUACAGUGUUCGAAGUGAUUCAAGGGUUUAAAAUGAUAGCAACACAAACAACUCAAAAUUGAAAAGUAUACACCUCUCUCAUUGCAAGUCCUUCAUUUACUAUGAAAAUUCCUCACUUGUCACAUUUUUUGUAGGUUCCAGACUCCUACUUACUGUGAUAGUUGAGUCCUUCCCCAAACUCUCCACCAUAAAAAAAAAAAAAAAAAAAAAAAAUCUCAGAUUUUCAUUCUCCUAAGUUAUUUCCCUUUAGAUCUUUCCAAGAACCUGCAUUCCCUGCAUUUUAUUAGGCAGAACAUUUGACAUUCCACUCGGGCCUGGCUUUGCAUUAAUAAAAAUCCACAAGUUUCACACAGAGCAGACAGAAGCACUGGCUGAAACAUAGAAGUGUCAGCCUUACUUUUCUUCUUCCUUCAUCUGUCUUCAUAAGUAGAAAGAGGAGAAAUUUUCAUUUUCCAAUGAUCAUGAAUUAGAUCCUUGUCUUUUAUGUCUGAAUAGCUAUGUGUCUUCUCACAACUACAGAAUACCUUCAUGGGUUGCUGUGAAGACUGAAGGUAAAAUGUCUAUCUCAGUGGCUGACAAUAAAAGGAUGAAAUAUACACUUGAAUCAAUGAAUGAAUAAUUAGUUUAUUGAUUAAUAUAUAGCUUGUCAUUAACAACAAUCUUCAUACUAGAGAUAUCUGAAUCACCAUUGAAGGACUAAGGGGAUAUUUCCAAAAAGAAAAAUACUAGAGGCAAUGAUAACAUCACAGUUCAGAAAAUGGAAGAGCAUGGAUUCCAAGAGAUUAUAAGAAGUUAAAUUAUAAGGUGCAUAAAUGUGUUUAUAACCAUAUUAGUCUGCUCAGGCUGCCAAGAGUCUCACCAUCAGAUAGCUGUUUGCUACACUCUCAGUGUUCUCUUCUGAACAAACUUUCCCAUUUUUUGCUCUAUGGCUGCCUAAGGAUUUUCCAAAUGUCCAAGUUCUGGCUCCUUUAUGCUUAACAAUUGCCUCUUCAAGUCACCUCUCUCCUUUGCAUUUUACUAUAAGCAGUAAGGAGGCACUAAGACAAACUUCCAAUAGCUUAUUUAGAAAUCUCAUCUGCUAAAUAUAUAAUUUUAUCAUUUGUAAGUUCUACCUUUCACCACAUAGCAGAACACAAUUUAGCCAAGAUCUUUGCCACUUUGUAACAAGAGUUGCCUUUUCUCCUGUUUCCUAUAACCUCAUUUCUGUCUAGGACCUCACCAGAAUGACCUUUCACAUGCCAUUUUUUAAAAUUUUAUUUUAUGUUCUGGGAUACAUGUGCAGAAUGUGCAGAUUUCUUACAUAGGUAAUGUGUGCCAUGCUGGUUUGCUGCGCCUACCACCCCAUUGCCUAGGUAUUAAGCCCUGCAUGCAUCAGCCAUUUGUCCUGAUACUCUUCCUCUCCUCACCUCCCCCACCUCCCAAAA